rnacentral:rRNA from 1 species
UACAGAGGCCCCAAGCAUUAUCCGGAAUCACUGGGCGUAAAGGGUGUGUAGGCGGUCGUGUUAGUCUUUCGUGAAAGCUUUUGGGCUUAACCCAGAAAACGCGGAGGAAACGGCACGACUUAGAGGAUGCGAGAGGUAUAUGGAACUCAUGGUGUAGGGGUGAAAUCCGUUGAUAUCAUGGGGAACACCAAAAGCGAAGGCAAUAUACUGGCGCACUCCUGACGCUGAGACACGAAAGCGUGGGAAUCGAACGGG